rnacentral:rRNA from 1 species
AACGAACGCUGGCGGCAUGCCUAACACAUGCAAGUCGAACGAAUCCUUCGGGGUUAGUGGCGCACGGGUGCGUAACGCGUGGGAAUCUGCCCAAAGGUUCGGAAUAACACAGAGAAAUUUGUGCUAAUACCGGAUAAUGUCUUCGGACCAAAGAUUUAUUGCCUUUGGAUGAGCCCGCGUUGGAUUAGCUUGUUGGUGAGGUAACGGCUCACCAAGGCGACGAUCUAUAGCUGGUCUGAGAGGAUGAUCAGCCACACUGGGACUGAGACACGGCCCAGACUCCUACGGGAGGCGGCAGUGGGGAAUAUUGGACAAUGGGCGAAAGCCUGAUCCAGCAAUGCCGCGUGAGUGAUGAAGGCCUUAGGGUUGUAAAGCUCUUUUACCAGGGAUGAUAAUGACAGUACCUGGAGAAUAAGCUCCGGCUAACUCCGUG